CGGAGGACUGAGGGUGCCAGGACGCUCCCCCCAGUCCGGUGAGUCCACUGAACCAAGCCAGUGGCCAGGAGUGAGCAUUUGUGGUGUUUCUCUGUGGUCAGCGGAGGCCCUGACUCAGCUAUAAAAAGAUCAACAAAAACCUAAUGCCAGGUUCUUGAGGCAGCUGAGUGAAAUUGGGACUCAACCCAGGAGAAGAGGCCGUGGUGUCACAGGUGAUCAUCAUCCCAGCGUUACAGCAGGUGAAAUGGAGACUCGGCUCGUGAGAAGAUGCCACAGCAGGUAAAAUCAGGACUCAGUUCCCAAGAGAAGAUGCCGCAGCACCACAGAGGAUCAUGGUCACAUCGUUACAGCAGGUGAUGCUGUAGCUUGUCGCAGACCCAGCUACACAUAGGCAGGUUCGGAUUCUCAUCUUGGUGGGAAAUUACACACU